rnacentral:rRNA from 1 species
CUCGAAUCUAAAAGAGCUAAGAUUUUAUUUUUUAAAUGUUUCAUAAUUUCAAUAAAUGGGAUUUUAGUAGCGAAAUGUUAUUCGUUUUUUGAUAUAUCUAGUUUUUUGAGAAAUAAAUUUAAUUUAUUUAUUUUUAAAAUUUAUUUUAUUUAUUAAUUAAAUUUUGAGAAUAUUAAAUUUUCUUAGGGAAAAGCUUAAGAAAAUAGUUUUAUUUACUAAAAGAUAAAAGUUUGCAAGUAGGAUUAUAAUUUUCCGUCUUUAGCAAGAUGUUAUAGUUUUCUUACAAUAAAUUAUUAUUUUUAUAAGUAAUACAUUUUAUAUCAAAAUAUUGAGUUUAAUAAAAAAUUUUAAGUAAUAAUGAUUGAAUUAGUAUAUUUAUGUGUAAUUUUAUAAUUUUGUCUAAGAUAUAAUUAAUGAAUUCGGCAAUUAAGUUUUUCACCUGUUUAUUAAAAACAUGUCCUUUUGAAAAUAAUAUAAGGUCGGGCCUGCUCAAUGAUAAUAUUAAAUAGCUGCAGUAUUUUGACUGUACUAAGGUAGCAUAAUCAUUAGUUUCUUAAUUAGGAACUGGAAUGAAGGGUUUGAUGAAAAAACAACUGUGUCUUUUAUAAAUAUAGAAAUUUAUUUUUAAGUAAAAAAGCUUAAAUUAAGUUAAAAGACGAGAAGACCCUAUAGAGUUUAAUAAUUAUUAAAUUUUUGAUUUUUAGGUUAGAAAUUUAUUUUGAUUAAAGUAAUUAUUUAAUUGGGGUGAUUAAAAAAUUAAAGUAACUUUUAUUUACAAAACUUUAAUUGAAGGUUUGUUUGAUCCGUUUUUUACGAUUAAAAGAAUAAAUUACCUUAGGGAUAACAGCGUAAUCUUUUUUUAGAGUUCUAAUCGAUAAAAGGGAUUGCGACCUCGAUGUUGGAUUAAAAUUUACUUUUAGGCGCAAAAGCUAAAUGGUUGAGUCUGUUCGACUUUUAAAAUUUUACAUGAUCUGAGUUUAAACCGGUGUGAGCCAGGUUGGUUUCUAUCUUUAAUUUAAUAAAAAAUUUUAGUACGAAAGGACCAAAUUUU